rnacentral:tRNA from 1 species
AAGGGUAUAGCUCAGUGGUAGAGCACAUGCUUAACAGGCGCAAGGUCCUAGGUUCAAUCCCCAGUACCUCUG